rnacentral:misc_RNA from 1 species
UUGGUUUGUUUCCGGUGGUUGGCUCUCUGCUUUUAGCAACAACUUCCACCUGGCAUACCUCUUCAGUUAUGCAUCAAGGAUGUUAUUCCUUGAGCGGUUUUGGUUUCCUGUGUUUCUUACCUUUUUGAUGGUAUUGUUUGGUUACAUGAUUGUCUUUUUUCAUCACGCGUUGUAUGUGUGGCGUGGGAUGAACCUCAAUGCAAUUUCUAUGAUCCAACUUAAUGCACAUGCGUUGAUGUUGUGGCUCAUUGAUUGUUUUGCUUGGUUUAAUGGAUAUAGUACAUGAUAUGGGCAAGGAUUUUAUGAUCCUUUUUGCCCUUGUUGAACGUUGUUAUUUCUUUAAGGCGACCGCCUAGCCCGAAUUGGCUCGUACCACCGGGUGGGUUAUGUUGUUGAAAAGUGAUGAUUGCGUUCUUGCUUAUCUAAAACGAAGAGUCUAUCCUGCAUUGGCUUGUGCCGGUAGGUGGGCUUAUUUCGAAGUGGAAUGUUACCUGGUUGAUCCUGCCAGUAGUCAUAUGCUUGUCUCAA